rnacentral:hammerhead_ribozyme from 1 species
CAAAUGACGAGUCCAAAAUAGGACGAAACACACGUCCUG